CCUACGGGCGGCAGCAGUGGGGAAUAUUGGGCAAUGGGCGCAAGCCUGACCCAGCAACGCCGCGUGAAGGAAGAAGGCUUUCGGGUUGUAAACUUCUUUUCUGAGGGACGAAGAAAGUGACGGUACCUCAGGAAUAAGCCACGGCUAACUACGUGCCAGCAGCCGCGGUAAACGGAGGUGGCAAGCGUUAUCCGGAUUUAUUGGGUGUAAAGGGCGGGUAGGGGGGAAAGCAAGUUAGCUGUGAAAACUCAGGGCUUAACCCUGAGCCUGCAUUUGAAACUGUUUUUCUUGAGUGCUGGAGAGGCAAUCGGAAUGCCGUGUGUAGCGGUGAAAUGCGUAGAUAUACGGAGGAACACCAGUGGCGAAGGCGGAUUGCUGGACAGUAACUGACGCUGAGGCGCGAAAGCGUGGGGAGCAAACAGGAUUAGAUACCCGGGUAGUC
rnacentral:rRNA from 1 species